rnacentral:lncRNA from 1 species
GAGGGCGGCGGUGGGAGGAGGAGGUACCUGGGGCUGGGAGUGAUGUCAGCUCCCAGCUCGGUGCCUGCCCGGAUUCCUGACAUGGUGUAGGGCAGACAGGGUGGGGACUGGCCGGGGAAGGAGUCGUGCGCGGCUUGCCUGCGGCUGGGCCCUGUGGCGGGGCUUUGAACUGGGAGCGACGGUGAACGGAACUUUUGGAAGUAGUGCCGGCGGCUCGCCACCCCCAGUACAGAACUUGUAUGGAUCAGUUUGCUAAGGACGUGCGAGAUUUGAAGAGCUGAAAAAAGUCAGUAUUAAACCUGUUUUUUAAAAAUGUAAGUAAACUCACUCCUCACCAUUCAUAUCUGACAUCUCCAGAGUGUAAAUUUCUUCGCAGCAGUAACGGUACUUGGCUCUAGUCAGUCUGCUCAUUUUAUCUUGAAA